GAUGAACGCUAGCGGCAGGCCUAAUACAUGCAAGUCGAACGGGUGGUCGCAAGACCACUAGUGGCGCACGGGUGCGUAACGCGUAACCAACCUGCCCCGAUCUGGGGGAUAGCCCGCCGAAAGGCGGAUUAAUACCGCAUAUACCCGCAGCCUGGCAUCAGGCAACGGGGAAAGAUUUAUUGGAUCGGGAUGGGGUUGCGUGACAUUAGCUAGUUGGCGGGGUAAGGGCCCACCAAGGCGACGAUGUCUAGGGGACCUGAGAGGGUGAUCCCCCACACUGGCACCGAGAUACGGGCCAGACUCCUACGGGAGGCAGCAGUAGGGAAUAUUGGGCAAUGGGCGAGAGCCUGACCCAGCCAUGCCGCGUGCCGGAUGAAGGCCUUCUGGGUUGUAAACGGCUUUUCUCAGGGAAGAAAAAGACCUUGCGAGGUACACUGACGGUACCUGAGGAAUAAGCACCGGCUAACUCCGUG
rnacentral:rRNA from 1 species